UGUUGUUUCCCACAUUAAGUUUAUUUUUAAAGAUCAAAUGACGCCAUUUCCCCCACUUUCAGAAAAAGGUCAAAUUGAAUUAAAUUAAAAAAUUAUCACUAUCAAGUUUCAACAUUGUUUCACUCUCUUCUUCCUUCAAUUCUUGAAAUACCCGAUAGCCAAUUAUUUUUACCAAUUUAAAAAAGGCUUUCAAAGUGUUCUUCAUUCUCAUUUGCACUAAAUCUUCAAGGUGGAGGUGAAGUAUUUUCAACUACGAGAUUCAAAAGUUGGCAUAAAAAGAAGAGUCUUGGAAAACAUAUUGGUCUACCAAAUAGCAUACACAAUCAAUCAAAGAAGAAAUGCCAAGAUUUAUUAUGCCAACGACAAUUGAUUCAAUUUGAAUUUGAUAGGCAAUCGAAUCAAAUUAAAAAGGGAUAUUUCAUUCACUUAACUGCUUCGGUUGAUGUAGUAAGACUUCUCAUAACUCAGGAAUUUGCAUUUCGAGGUCACGAUGAAUCUAAAUCAUCACGUAGUAGAGGAAAUAUGGAUGAAAGAGCCAAGGCAAUGGAAAAUCUUGAAGCUUGUCGAACAUUUGAGGUUGCUUUCAUGUUGCACUUGAUGAGAUAUAUUUUGGCUAUUACAAAUGAACUUAAUAAGUGCUUACAAAAAAAGGGAGCAAGACAUUGCAAAUGCUAUGCUACUUGUUGAAGUAGCAAAGAGAAGGUUGCAAUUUUUAAGGGAUAAUGAAUGGUAUUCUCUUAUAUAUUGAUAAGGUGUCUAUAUUUUGUACCCAAUAUGAUAUUUGAUGCAUAACUUUGAAGAACCAUAUGUUAGCUCUUUAAGAUCCUGAUGUAAACUUGCUAGCUAUACAGUCUUACAUCAUUACCGUGUUGAA